AAACCCCUCUGUUUCUAGCAACAAAAUCUGGAUGUAUUGAGAUUGUGAAAGAAAUAUUCAAUGUAUACCCCCAAGCAGUUGAGCAUAUUGAUGAUGAAGGAAGAAAUAUAUUGCAUGUAGCUAUCAAGUAUCGGCAGUUAGAGAUUUUUGAGCUUGUAGUCCAAAUGGAAGUGCCAAUGCGAAGGCUAGUCCGGAAAAUUGACAACGGUGGCAACACUUUACUGCACAUGACCGGAAUCAAAAGAAAGGAUUAUGUACCUGAAAAGAUGGAAGGCCCAGCUCUAGUCUUGCAGGAAGAAUUGCUUUGGUACGAGGUACGAUUUCACUAAUCCUAUUUACUUAAGCUUUUGGUAAGUUUAGAUAGUCAGGAAAAGAUCCUAAUUUUGCUAUUAACAAACUUUGUUGGUUCUGGUGUGUAUUGCAGCGUGUAGAGGAAGUGAGCAUACCCCAUUUCAGGAAUCACCAGAACAACAUGGGGUUCACCCCGGAAGAGUUGUUUGCUACUGCAAAUAAUGAGCUUCGCGCUCAAUCAAAAGAAUGGAUAAUACACACAGCAGAAGGAUGCUCAGUGGUGGCAGUUCUCAUUGCUACCGUGGCCUUUGCCGCUGCAUACACUGUACCGGGAGGCGCAAAUGAGGAAACCGGCUAUCCAAUCCUUCUUCGUCAUCCUUUCUUUGUGACUUUCACUGUCUCCGACGUUCUAUCUCUCACGUUCUCUUUGGCUGCAGUGGUUACGUUUCUCUCAAUCCUCUCAUCCCCAUUUAGAUUACAAGAUUUCAAGCAGUCUCUUCCGAAUAAGUUGACACUGGGCUUCGCAUUUUUGUUUCUCUCUGUGUGCCUUAUGAUGGUAGCAUUUGCAGCAACGAUUCUGCUCAUGAUUAAAAAUAAGGAACAUUGGGCAAAAGUCUUGCUGUACACUUGCUCUUUUAUCCCAGUGGGAAUCUUUGCACUAUCGCAUUUCCCUAUUUACAUAACAAAAUCGAUUGCUAGAUCGUGCAAGAAAUUCUGGAGCAAGACAGGGCUGCUGGUUCCUCAGUGUUUUGUCUCUCUUCUGAAGAGGAUCUUUUGUUUCUCCACAUGUUUGAACGACAAAACCACCGGCUCUUCCAUUCCAUGAGCUUCAACUGUUAAAUCUGAAUGGGCAGUGUGCGAAAUUGUUAAUCUUGGUCGUUUGACUCCUUGUUAUGAGGAGUCUGUGUGUCUUAAGUUCUUACUGGAUUGUAUUGAUUUGAAUAAAGAUGAUGCAUUGUGUUGGCAAAUGUUUAUAGCCAUUGUAAUAAAAAUGUGAGUGCACAACGCACCAUUGAAAGAAUCGAAUUGCCUGAGUAAUUUCGUAUUCUUCAAAAACACCCACAAUCAAUUUAGGACAAUUGCACAUAUCACAGGCGUGGGAAUUUGGGACUAAUAAAAUAAAUGAUUCGGAUCCUCACCUAGUGUUUUUUUUUUCCUCUUAAUCUCUCUAAGUCUUUCAAAAUUAAUGAAAAAAGUUGGUUUAAUUGUAAAUAAAAUAAAUAAAGCUGGUUUGGUGUCAACAUUAAAAUUUAAAAUUAAAUCUUGGCCACUUAUUUCACUAUGAGAGAUUAGAAGAGAAAAAAAUUAGGAGAGAAUCAUUGUCCAUGAAGAAACUUUCAUGGCCUUUAGCUUUUAAGCUCACAUGAGGUGAGAAAAUUCAAAUACACGCUCGCAAGUUUCGUUUGUAAUUUGAAAUAUUAUUGUAUGUUGUCUCCAUGUCUCGAGGGAAUUUGAACUUAUGUGUAAUACUGCAGAUAGGAAUGAUUAUGACGGAUUGCUUUGACACUUGAGUUGAGAUGCCUUAUCUUGUUUUGAUUUGUAUGGAUAUUGUUAGAGUUUGUGUUGUAAUAGGGUUAAUACUUAAUACUACUAGUUUUUUUAUUUUCCUUCUUUAAAUUUACUUAUUAAUGUGAUGUUUGCGGAGGCUUAUUAUUAGAGUUUACGUUCUCAUUUAUUGAGAAAUAAUGAUUUUCGUGAUUAAACGUUAUUUUUAAUUUUCUGGUAUUCUUUAAUUUAAGGAUGGAGUUAUUGUAAAAUUUAUUAUUUAUAAUUUUUGUCCACUAUAUUUUUUCAUAUUUUAACAUUAAUUUAAUAAUCAAUAACAAUUAAUAAUUAUUAUAAUUUUGAUAUAAUUAAAUUUAUCAAAAUAAAAAAUAUUUUGAUAAUAAAAUUCAAACCAAACCCAAACGGGUUCCAAAUGGAUUGGUUUGGGUUAGGUUGAAAAUAUUUGAGUUGGUUUGGGUUGGACCCAAACUUUUAUGGUUUGGUUUGAGUUGACUUAAAACUCAACCCAAAGCAAAAGCAACUUAUGCCCACCCCUAAAUAUACAUAAUAUAAGAUGAGAUUAUUAGUGGGUAAAUGUUUAUGGGUGUAUUUUGGAAUAGACAUGAAAAUAAUUUAUAAAAUAGAGGUAUUUUUGACACUAGAUAUUAGUUGGCUUAUUCAGAUUUCUCUAUUCAGUAAAAAGUUAAAAAAAAAAACUUAUUUUAUUAAGUCAAAAUUAUCUAAAAUGUCUCAUUAAGUUAUAAAAAUAAACAUCUCUACUUAAUUAAUUAAGUUAAGUCAUUUUAAGUCAUUAAUUUAAAAAAACUAACACCCUCUAAGUUUUUUUUUUUUUUACUAUGAGGUCAAGUAAUUAAUCGAUAAAACUAAUUUAUUUUGCCGAGGACUAUUUUCUAUUUAUAAGACUCAUUGAUUCUCAUUAUUACAGUUAAUGUGAGACAUGAUUCAUCGUUACUAUGGCAUAGCCUCUAGGUUCUUUCUUUUUUUUCCCCUCCAAUUUUUUUAGUAUUAUAUGUCCCAAAUUAUUUAUUAUGAUUUGUCAAUUAAUUCAUUAUAUUUUAAGAAAUUCAGAAAUAAGAUGCAGUAGAAUUUAGAAAUUGCAAUAAGAACUCAAAAAAAAAAAAUAAUGAAAAUUUUGAUUAGCAGUCGGCGAUGCAUUUGAAUACAUUAAAUAACAACAUAUUAUUUAAUUGUUAUAUGAUUGACAUGAUUUUUUUAAAACCACAUGAGAUUUUCACAGUAAAACAUAUGUAUGCAAGAAGCAAACUAGCAGAAUUUUAUCAAACAAGUGUAUUCUAGUUGAGUACUAAUAUACUUUCGCCAUGUUAACAAGCAAAUUGUCAACAUAUAAACCAAUUAAUUUGCAAGCUUGUUAGUCAUAAUUAAUAAUCUUUCACAUCACAGGUCGCCAUGUUAACAAGCAAAUUGUCAACAAAUAAACCAAUUAAUUUGCAAGCUUGUUAGUCAUAAUUAAUAAUCUUUCACAUCACAGGCUUCUUUAGGCUUCUUCUUCUCCGACUCAACUCUUCUUAUUAAAAGGCAAGAAAGUAAUGUUUAUUCAUAUAUUACCGUCCAUUCUACAAUGAUAUAAAUACACAAGAAGCUAUUGUAACAAUUACAAAGAGAAAGUUGAAAGGAAAAAUAAAUGAAGGAGGGGUAGUUAUUGUCUGGUGGGUUGGUGGCAGUUAUCAUUAUGUCUAUUGCAUUCCAAAAGUCAUCGUUGCAUGUCAAGAAUCUUGGAUGUCAUCAUUGCAUUUUUGCAUGUGCCUCUGCUAAUGAUGUGCUCUGUUAUAGAAGAUACUGGUUCUAAACACAAGAUCAACGGAGAGCUUUACAAUGCUCUACUGAUCAGAGAAGAUGAGCAGAAGGUGAUAGAGCUUUGCCGAAAAGUUCCCGAUCAUGCCUUGUACAUUUUAACAAUCCACCAUGACACAGUUCUGCAUAUGGCUACUUAUUCCAAAAAAAGAAACUUAGUGCUGAAGCUUCUCGAUGAGUUACCAGACCAAUAUCUCAACAAAAUGACUCGACAGAAUCAAGCAGGAAACACCAUUCUACAUGAAACUGCCACAAGCAACCUUGCGAUUCCUGUGGCGGAGAAGCUGUUAAAGAAGGAGCCGGGGCUGCUAGGCAUGCGCAACAACAAUGGAGAGACUGCUCUACUUCGUGCUGCCCGAUACGGCAAAGCUGAUAUAUUCAACUUUCUUGCUGGUAGAGUUUCUGGGUAUGAUCUCGGCACUAAGCUGCCGUUUCUUCACAGAAAUGAUAAGACUAAUGUUCUUCACAUUGCCAUUCUUUCUCAGCACUUUGGUAAGUUUUCAAAAUUAUUCCCUAGUGCCCUGGUUUGACGAUCAAAUUAAAUUUUGAGUGUCCUUAUGUAUUUCUAUCUUUGUUUAUAACUGUAUUCUUCUUUUUGAAAUAGAUUUGGCCCUGCAAAUUGCGAACGAUUACAGGUACUUGAUUGAAGAGCAAGAUGUGGAUGGGAUGACUGCUCUUCAGCUUCUGGCAUGCAAGCCUGAAGCUUUUGAUCGCAAACGUGCUGAAGGGUUUUUCAAUAAACUAAUCUAUUGUGGUGAGGUUUUCUUAAUAAAAACUGAACAUAAUUUUCGUUUUUGCCUCCGUUUUUCCGGGAAACAUUGAAUUAUUCAUUGCUUCUGAUUUGCCUUUUAUUUUCCUAUUGGUUUUGAAAUUAAAAUAAGAUAUUGUUAAAAGAUGCUAACAAAAUAAUUCCUUGUUUGACAGCUUAGAUUUGAAUAACCUUGUUUGCUUUUUAAAUCACUUUCCCGAGACUCUUUACAAGAAGAAGAAAAUUCUAAUGGAAAGUGCUUAUUUAUACAAUUGUUAACUCUUUUUCUUUUUUUUUUGGUGGAAAAGUUAAAUAUAAAUGUAGUUUGAGCCGAAGAGCAGAAUUUGAAGGGGAAGAGCGACAAUAUGAAUCAGCUAUGGAGCUUGCCAGGUUUCUAAUUAGAAGGGAUACUUCAUGGGAGAUUACUGAUUCAUUCCAUGACCAAAGUAAGCCUAAAAUUCAUAGAUAUGGGGCAAAUCCCAAUGCCUCAUCCGUUGACCAGAAAGGGAUUGGAGAAAGCUCUGCUAACGAUAAUGCUGAAACCCCUCUGUUUCUAGCAACAAAAUCUGGAUGUAUAGAGAUUGUUAAAGAAAUAUUCAAUGUAUACCCCCAAGCAGUUGAGCAUAUUGAUGAUGAAGGAAGAAAUAUAUUGCAUGUAGCUAUCAAGUAUCGGCAGUUAGAGAUUUUUGAGCUUGUAGUCCAAAUGGAAGUGCCAAUGCGAAGGCUAGUCCGGAAAAUUGACAACGGUGGCAACACUUUACUGCACAUGACCGGAAUCAAAAGAAGUGAUUAUGUACCUGAAAAGAUGGAAGGCCCAGCUCUAGUCUUGCAGGAAGAAUUGCUUU
rnacentral:lncRNA from 1 species